CGCUGGAUGCCAGGAGCCACUCAGCGCUGGGCAGCUCAGCAGGACCCUACCUGGCAGAAGCGUCAGCCGCGGGUCCUGGAGUAGUUGGUCCCGCCUACCCUGUGUUGCGGCUCCUCGGGUUUCUAUCCAAGGAUGAAGAUCUGUGCUAGCCCAGAAGUGACGAUGCUUCUGCAGCAGAUGGGAGGGUGGAUGAUGACUUGCCACCACAGAGGCCCACAUCACAGCCAUCCUUAGAGACACUGAUCCUCACUGUCACACUCAAGCUCCAGGCUUCCUUCCUGCCGUGCUGUCCUCCCACCCCUCCUCAGAGAUGAAUGGAUCCCCAGCAAGCACGAGAGUGGAGCCAACUGAUUUCAAAACACAGCAUUGAGGAAAAACCCUGUGAAGGCAUUCGGUCAACUCCGCAUGUGGACAGCAUGUCAGGACUUCCCACUUGAUGAUCUAGUCAAUAUCAUCUCUUUGCAAUGAUGAAAAAUAAUAAAUAAACCUGAAUAUUCA